rnacentral:rRNA from 1 species
CGAAGGAUGCGAGCGUUAUCCGGAUUUAUUGGGUUUAAAGGGUGCGUAGGCGGUCUUAUAAGUCAGUGGUGAAAUCUUGUCGCUUAACGACAAACGUGCCAUUGAUACUGUAGGACUUGAGUACAGAUGCCGUUGGCGGAAUGUGUCAUGUAGCGGUGAAAUGCAUAGAUAUGACACAGAACACCGAUUGCGAAGGCAGCUGACGAAACUGUAACUGACGCUGAUGCACGAAAGCGUGGGGAUCAAACAGGAUUAGAUACCCUGGUAGUCCACGCCCUAAACUAUGAUUACUCGCUGUCGGCGAUAUACAGUCGGUAGCUAAGCGAAAGCGUUAAGUAAUCCACCUGGGGAGUACGCCCGCAAGGGUG